rnacentral:rRNA from 1 species
GACGAACGCUGGCGGCGUGCUUACCACAUGCAAGUCGAACGGAAAGGCCCUGCUUUUGUGGGGUGCUCGAGUGGCGAACGGGUGAGUAACACGUGAGUAACCUGCCCUUGACCUUGGGAUAACUUCAGGAAACUGGGGCUAAUACCGGAUAGGAGCUCCUGCUGCAUGGUGGGGGUUGGAAAGUUUCGGCGGUUGGGGAUGGACUCGCGGCUUAUCAGCUUGUUGGUGGGGUAGUGGCUUACCAAGGCUUUGACGGGUAGCCGGCCUGAGAGGGUGACCGGCCACAUUGGGACUGAGAUACGGCCCAGACUCCUACGGGAGGCAGCAGUGGGGAAUAUUGCACAAUGGGCGGAAGCCUGAUGCAGCAACGCCGCGUGCGGGAUGACGGCCUUCGGGUUGUAAACCGCUUUCGCCUGUGACGAAGCGUGAGUGACGGUAAUGGGUAAAGAAGCACCGGCUAACUACGUG